AAUCAACGCUGGCGGCGCGCUUAACACAUGCAAGUCGCACGAGAAAGUGGAGCAAUCCAUGAGUACAGUGGCGCACGGGUGAGUAACACGUGGGUAACCUGCCCUUGAAUGGGGAAUAACCCGGGGAAACCUGGGCUAAUACCGCAUACGCUCCUUUCGGCUCACGCCGGAGGGAGGAAAGGCGCAAGCCGUUCGAGGAGGGGCCCGCGGCCGAUUAGCUAGUUGGUAGGGUAAUGGCCUACCAAGGCUUUGAUCGGUAGCCGGCCUGAGAGGGCACACGGCCACACUGGCACUGAAACACGGGCCAGACUCCUACGGGAGGCAGCAGUGGGGAAUCUUGCACAAUGGGGGAAACCCUGAUGCAGCGACGCCGCGUGAGCGAUGAAGCCCUUCGGGGUGUAAAGCUCUUUUGGCGGGGAAAAUUAUGAUGGUACCCGCUGAAUAAGCUGCGGCUAACUACGUGCCAGCCGCCGCCGUAAC
rnacentral:rRNA from 1 species